rnacentral:rRNA from 1 species
AACGUAGGAGACAAACGUUAUCCGGAGUUACUGGGCGUAAAGGGCGUGCAGGUGGUCUGUUAAGUCUGGCGUGAAAGCUCCCGGCUAAACCGGGAGAGGUCGUUGGAUACUGGCGGACUAGAGGACGGUAGAGGCGUGUGGAAUUCCGGGUGUAGUGGUGAAAUGCGUAGAGAUCCGGAGGAACACCAGUGGCGAAGGCGACACGCUGGGCCGUACCUGACACUAAGACGCGACAGCAUGGGGAGCGAACGGGAUUAGAAACCCCCGUAGUCC